rnacentral:rRNA from 1 species
UCGAAUGUAAGAGCCGGUCCGAGGACAUCGUCGACUAACGGCCACGCCAAGCGCCCGGCAACGCACUAGGUCCGUAAAUCCGAGCGAGACGAGCCUGCCGACGAGCCAGAACGCACUUAAUGCGGCCCAAUACCGUUUCAUAGCGAUCUCAUACCGCCGGGCAGCCGGCCCAGACAACCGGUGGUCUGCCGCGUGCGCGCUUGCGCGCGACGAGACAGUUGGCCAACCGGCCGUAGGCCAGCACCCAACGGGUCGCGACGUCCUACUAGGGGAGAAGUGCACGCCGACGACGCCAGUCAUACCGCAGUAAAGCGUGACGCGGAACCGAAAUCCCGGCCAUCGAAUCCACACGGAAGCCAGCGCCGCUGAGGAUGAAUCUCCCCAUUCGAUCUUUUGGGUUUCUCAGGUUUA